UAGCCAAUGUGCAUGAAACAAAAUCUACUUAGAAAAUUGAAAAGUCUGUUCCACGAAAGAAAAAGUAUUCUAGAGUGCUUCAACUGUGUUUUGAUGUUAAUUUGCUUGAUUGUUUGUUUGUUUUUUCUUCUUCUUCAAUAAAAAAAAAGUAAAAAAAUUAGGUAGAAUAUUGGACUACACUUAAAAACAAAAAAUAAAAAAUAAAAAAAAUCCAAUUUCACCACAUUUAGCUUUAUAUCAUUAUUUGGGCAAUACAUUGUCCUAAGUUCUCUCUGGUUUCAUAGACAGCAAAAGACGCCUGCCUCUUUCUCACAGUGGAGGUUAAAAUGAACCCAACAAUUUCUUCAUUUUCUACCAACCCCUAAAAAAGACAACAACACCCAAGUGGUAUAUUCUUGUGUUUGUCGGUUCCUUCGAAUACAGAAGAGAUUCUGGAACGUCCAUUCGUCGACGACGACGACGACGACGACAAUUGCAGCUCGCAUGCUCAGACAUUGCGAAUGCCAUUAUUGAAUGCUCGCACGCAGUUGUUGCGCCCGAAGAUCCUCGGCGAAGGCUGCACACCACAGCGCAGUCUCCAACGCGGUCAGAAUAACGCCUCGGCAUGGGUGCAGGAAAGAGGGGAGAGGAAGAACGCGAGCACCCAGCCAAACAACAAAGCAAAGAAACCGACAAACAGGAACAAAGGGCAACAAACAGUUGAUGGGUCGACGACCAGACGCAGCAGCGUGACAGAGAAUUCGCAGAUUCCUUAUUUCCUUUUCCUUCCAAGCACAUGGGGGCCAAUGACACUUUGGCCAGCCUUUUCCUGUACGAUUGGACCCCCUGACACACAGGAUCCCCUCGCCGCCCCCUGUGCUGUGCUGCGUGCUGCGCGCUACGGCUGCUGUUGGGUUCGGCGGAGAGCGUCCCCCUCUCCACCCCUCCCUAAAUCACGGUGGCAUAGUCCCGUAUUUCCAUCGCCCAUUUGUCGACGAAGCUCAUCACAGUCGCCCUAAUAAUAACCCACAAUCAUAGUCGUAAUCUCCUCCUCCUCCACCAACACCACCAGCAUCAGCCUCAGCAGCACAAACACACACACACACUCCCCCUUCUCGCCCCACCUGCAGCACCCCAAUUGCACGCACCUCAGCGUACAGUGCAGUGCAAACCACACAAAACAGGGGGCCUCGCCUCGGGAAU
rnacentral:lncRNA from 1 species